UACGUAGGGGGCAAGCGUUGUUCGGAAUUACUGGGCGUAAAGGGCGCGUAGGCGGCACAGCAAGUCGGGAGUGAAAGCCCGGGGCUCAACCCCGGAAUGGCUUUCGAAACUGCUGAGCUAGAGUACAGAAGGGGCAACCGGAAUUCCCAGUGUAGCGGUGAAAUGCGUAGAUAUUGGGAAGAACACCUGAGGCGAAGGCGGCUUUCUGGACCACUACUGACGCUGAGGCACGAAAGCCGGGGGAGCAAACAGG
rnacentral:rRNA from 1 species